CAGUCGCCGCGGUAAUACGAAGGGUGCAAGCGUUACUCGGAAUUACUGGGCGUAAAGCGUGCGUAGGUGGUGGUUUAAGUCCGUUGUGAAAGCCCUGGGCUCAACCUGGGAAUUGCAGUGGAUACUGGAUCACUAGAGUGUGGUAGAGGAUAGUGGAAUUUCCGGUGUAGCAGUGAAAUGCGUAGAGAUCGGGAGGAACAUCAGCGGCGAAGGCGGCCAUCUGGGACAACACUGACGCUGAGGCACGAAAGCGUGGGGAGCAAACAGGAUUAGAUACCCCCGUAGUCCCUGUCUCUUAUAC
rnacentral:rRNA from 1 species